AAGGCAGAAGCUACAAAUAAGCACACAGAGACUGUAUUAUCAUCCUCUAGAGAAGCUGUGGUUAAGCAUCUUUGUGUUUAGCCUGUCAAAGCCUUUCUGAUGACACCUUGGCUUCUGGAAUAUUUUAAGCUGAAGGAGUUUGGAAAAAAAGCAGAAACUGGAAGAUCACCCUGACCUCUCCUCUUUUACCUUUCUUCCCCAAAGAGGCCAUAAAACCUUCCAGUGAAAGGGCUCCCCCCACACCCAAAGGAAGGGAGCACCCUUAUCUCUGGAGGCAAGGGGACACCAUGAAGAAUCCUAGCAAACCGGCUUUGCUGUUUCCCCAGUUCAGUGCAGGCCCAGCAAGGGAUCUUAAGAGGACUGAGAAAAACUUUUUUCUCCCAAUACAUAUGUAGGUCAGAGAAAUGGCACCUUCUACAUCUGAAAGAGUUCAACUAACCUCAAAUGAGCCAUUUUCUUCUUUUCUUCACAAUGGAAUCAAAUCCAUCACUUUUUUCUAACGUGGUGCCAGUGAGACCAGCCUUUCAGAUAAGCAGAGUCCAUGGCCAUUGAGUUAAUGUGACGCGAGAGGAGCCAAAAAACUUGGCUGCCGAGGUGCCUAAGGCUUCCACCAUUAAAGUCACCCCAAUGAAUGGGGCAUCGCAUUUCCAAAAUGCUCCUGUCACAAAUACUAAUGUAGGGCUCACACACUGCCCAGACCAUCUCAGUCACUCAGUGUUUAUUGAACAAAUAAAAGAAUGAUUGUUGCCUGCAAAGGAUAAUAAGCUGUGAUUAUAUUGGUUAGAUUCUAUGCCAAAUAUAUGUGAGUCUCUGAAACAUAUUAACUCAUUUGCUCCCACUCCCUUGGCCUCCCCUCUACCACAAGGCAUCCAUUCCCAAGACCCACAGUGGAUGCAUAAAACCAUGGAUGGUACUGAAUCUUCUCUAUACUAUGUUUUAUGUUUUUUCCUUUACAUACAUACUCAUAAUAAAGUUUAAUUUACAAAUCAAGCACAGUGAGAGGUUAACAACAACAAUAAUAAAUGGAACAAUUAUAACAAUAUACUGCAAUAAAAUUUAGGUAAAUGUGGUCUCUUUCUCAGAAUAUCUUAUUGGACAAAUAUAAUGCCUUUUUCCAUCUUAACUAAGCACUUAUCACACUGUGGCCAUGGCUUUUGCAGUUUAAGAUGCUACAGCAAAACCAACAAAUUUCUUUUUCUUUGUCAUGAUUUCACAGAUAGAAGAUAGAUCUUAGCAACCUUGGCAUAGGGGUUUUUUUUUUUUUUUUUUUUUUUCUUUCCUUAUUAAGUGGAGAACUUUCACCCUUUUACUUAAUGGAAGCACUUUACCCGCUUUUCUUUGGCAUAUCCGAAUGACAUCACUGGUCUUGUGCUUUGGGGCUGUUAUUAAGUGAAAUAAAAGUGACUUGAACACAACAGUAGAUCUGAUAACCAAGAUGCCUACUAAGUGACUAAGCUGUGGGAUGGGCGGGACAAAGCGAUGGUUCUUGGGCAGGAUGGAACAAGCCAAGAUAUGAGGUUGCAUCAUGCCACUGAGAACGAUGGCACGCAAUUUAAAACUCAUGGUUUAUUUCUGGGAACGUCCAAUGAAUGCAUUCAAACUAUGGAGUUUUCCAGGUGGCUCCGUGGGUAAAGA